rnacentral:lncRNA from 1 species
AUGGAGUUUGUGAAAGAGGAGAGAGAAGAGAACAUGAGUGAACCAGAAACCUGGAGAAUAAAACAAGAGGAACCAGAAACCUGCACAAUAAAACAAGAGGAACCAGAAAUAAAACACGAGGAAACAGAAAUAAAACACGAGGAACCAGAAAUAAUACAUGAGGAACAAGGAGAUAUGGCUGUCUGGAACGAGGCAAGUGAAGAUGCUUUGAUCAGCAUGAUCCAGGAAAGGCCGGCCUUGUAUGACAUCACGGAAAAAUCUUAUUCCAACCGAUUGGUGAAAGCUGAAAUGUGGUGUGAGAUCGAAAAUAAACUUGUCAUAUCAGAGAAAGAGCUCAAGAAGCGGUGGGAUUCAUUGCGAACCCAGUACAUGCGAUAUAAGAAACAAGGACCCUCAGGAAGUUCUGGAUCUCAGAAGACUGGCAGGCAGCAAUGGAUCCUGAACCGCCUGCAGUUUCUACAGCCUCACACAAAAAGGAAUGAGAGCACUUCAAAUUUACCUAUCAGGGAAUCUUCGGCUGAUAGUGAUUCCUGUUCACCCUCAGAUGGUACCAACAGUGACACAUGGACUGGCACCCAUGAAGAGCCCAGCUUCAUUGAGGCGGAGCUACGGCCCAGUACACCCUUGCCUGAAUCCACGAUCUGUGGAACGGAGUCUACAGCUGAGUCCACAGCCAUUAGACAGAAACCAAAUACUCCAAAGCCUCCGGGGAAGCGCAGGAAGAUGCAGGAUGAGUCCUCCAGUGAGGAGUCCACAUACUUGAUGCGAACCAUCGGCAAAACUCUGGAAAAGUUCUCAGCUUUCUGCAAAAAUCUAGAACACAGAAUGCGGAGUUUGCCACCACAUGUACUGCCACAUUUCCAGCAUGAGGUUGAUGAUUGCAUUUUCAAAUAUUCAGUGGGCCACAACCAUUCACUGGAUGCAUCUGUCAAUCAGUAUACACACCUGUAA